GGGAGAAAAUCUGUUAAAAUUAACUGUUUAUUGUUAACUAAAUGUGUCUUCUCGCCCCGGCGUGAGUCCCGGGAGAGUCCCCGGACAUCCGCUUGACAGCCCGCACAAGUUCCCAAAACUUUGACCAAUUAGGCGUAAAACUGGAAUAUAAAAACCGUCAGUUAAAUUCGCUUACCGGAGUAGAGCUCGCAACGGUGUAGCGCCACUUUUGUGCCUUGACAUUAAUCCCGGGGAGCGCCUGCGCACAACGUACAACUUUCCACUUUCCGUCCAAGAUCGUCUAUUGAGCAGAGGAUUCACUCCGUGCACAUGGCGUUUCGCCUGACGAACGUGACACGCCUGAAGAACACAAACCAUAUGGGCUCUAGUAGAAGAUUGUUGACGUGUAACUGCAAAAUCUUUAUGGGGCCUGUUGCAGAGAAGCAUCCCUCUCCUCGGUCGUAAAAUUUUUACUGCUGAAGUACCCACUGAACUUUUUCAAAGGUCUCUUGGUCUCUCAUAUGUUUCUCCCUGAGGGAAACAUUCUUG